GCAUGCAACGGACAGGGCGAGAAGAAGGCAACGGCGGCGAGAAUUCACGGUAAACAAACGGUAACGGUGGAAGAAAAGAAGGUAGACGUGAGUGAGGAAGAGGUGGGUUUUGGGUUUGAUGUGUGUGUGAAUCGGAGAGGAAAACAGAAACGGAACAGAGAGGGAAGGGUCUGGAGCUAGGUUUUUUGCCAAAAUAGUC